UACAGAGGUGGCAAGCGUUGUUCGGAAUUACUGGGCGUAAAGGGCGCGUAGGCGGCCUUCUAAGUCAGACGUGAAAUCCCCCGGCUUAACCUGGGAACUGCGUCUGAUACUGGAGGGCUUGAGUAUGGGAGAGGGAUGUAGAAUUCCAGGUGUAGCGGUGAAAUGCGUAGAGAUCGGGAGGAACACCAGAGGCGAAGGCGGCGACCUGGACAAGUACUGACACUCAACUACGAAAGCGUGGGGAGCAAACAGG
rnacentral:rRNA from 1 species